CGCAGCAGCGUCGUUAAGUGCACACGCAGCAGCAUCGUUAAGUGCACACAUAGCAGUCGGACACGCGCAGCAGCGGCGUCGGCUGCACGCAGCAGCGGCGUCGUCAGACGCGCGCAGCAGCGUCGUUAAGUGCACACGCAGCAGUCGGACACGCGCAGCAAUGUCGUUGAGAGCACAGGCAAUAGCGUCGUCGGACGCGUGCAGCAGCGUCGUGAGAUGCAGCGAGCAGCAUCGUCGGACGCGCACAGCAGCGUUGUCGAGUGCACACACAGCAGUAGCGACGGUCGCGCGCAGCAGCUUUGUCGGGCGUGCACAGCAGUGUCGUCGAGUGCACACGCAGCAGCGGCGUCAGUCGCGCGCAGAGCGUCGUCGGACGCAACGC
rnacentral:lncRNA from 1 species